rnacentral:rRNA from 1 species
UACGUAGGGGGCAAGCGUUGGUCCGGAAUUAUUGGGCGUAAAGCGCGUGUAGGCGGUCCGGUAAGUCGGCUGUUGAAAGUCCAGGGCUCAACCCUGGGAUCGCCGGUCGAUACUGCCGGACUAGAGUUCGGAAGAGGCGAGUGGAAUUCCCGGGUGUAGCGGUGAAAUGCGCAGAUAUCGGGAGGAACACCGAGUGGCGAAGGCGGU